UACGGAGGGUGCAAGCGUUAUCCGGAUUCACUGGGCUUAAAGGGUGCGUAGGCGGGCAGGUAAGUCAGUGGUGAAAUCUCCGAGCUUAACUCGGAAACUGCCGUUGAUACUAUCUGUCUUGAAUAUUGUGGAGGUAAGCGGAAUAUGUCAUGUAGCGGUGAAAUGCUUAGAUAUGACAUAGAACACCAAUUGCGAAGGCAGCUUACUACGCAAUCAUUGACGCUGAGGCACGAAAGCGUGGGGAGCAAACAGG
rnacentral:rRNA from 1 species